rfam:Triticum aestivum genome assembly, contig: Triticum_aestivum_CS42_TGACv1_scaffold_177875_2DS
CAACUACUACCUCUGUCCCAAAUUUCUUGUCUUAGAUUUGUCUAGAUACAGAUGUAUCUAAUACUAAAAUGUGACUUGAUACAUCCUUAUCUAGACAAAUCUCAGACAAGAAUUUUGGGACGAGGGAGUACUUU